UCAUGAUUCACGUCAAACUCUACGGAAUUUUAUCAAUCUAUGAAGCUUAGAAGUUGAUUAAAUUUAAGAUUUCAAUUGCCAGUUUUACGACGCUGUGCAAGCUGUGACUUCAUAACAAGAGUACGCGCUAACGCAUGCUAACGUUCGAUGAGUAGGUCCAUAAAAUCAUGCCUGUGUAUGCCCUGCUCUUCGCGUUCCUUGAUCAUCUCUGAGACGACAUUCUUAAAGAACUUAGUGACUUCAGUGUCGAUGACCUGCACCCGUAGAAUUUUAAAUAAGAUGAAAAAGUUGGCGUCAAUUUAGACCUGAGGCUCUUCCAUUUUCUACCUUCAAGGUUGAACAGAUGCCCGUUAAGGGGAUCCUGGGAAUUGUUCACCGGGAUUCCGCGGUUAGUAAAGAUCGCGAAGUCCUUCACGCAAAC